CGAUCCAUAAAUAAAUGGAGAUCAGUGGGUCUAGACAAAGUGCAAUUAUAAUCGCAAACCAGUCGAAAAGUGGUCGAAAAGCCCCUUUUUUGUAUGGAAUUUGACGGAUUCGAUUUUCGAUUCGAUCAAAAAGUGCGUUUUGUCUAGGGGGGCAGUGCGUUUCGCGAUUUUUAUGCUUUGUUAUGUGUUUUUUCUUUAAACCUGAUAUUGACCGAUUCAACCAUAGAAAAAGAAUAUUAGCCAUAACCAAAAGUUGAAGUUCAAAUGUCAAUGUCAUUUAGUUUCGCACAGUGAUAAAUUCCAGUGACAUGCAAUUUUUGUAAUGGCAAAAUAUUUGUAAGAAACUGCAAACAAAUGCAAAUGUGCAGUCGAUGUGUGGAAUGCGACAACAUUAUACUCGAUAGUUUCAAUUAUUGCGAGUGUUGUGGCUUAGAAACAAUUAGGCAGUUAAGAAUAAACAAGGCUCGGGCACUAUCAAACCUUUUUCCUAAAAAAAAUCUGCUUCUGCUGCAUCACAAGAUUUAUUUGAUGACUUUCAGGUUGAUAACGAAGAGUUGACGCUAAUCGAGGAUUCAUUGAUGAUUGAUGAUGCUUCUUCGGACAACAAGAAAAAACAGCUACUGUCAGUCAGCAGUGAUGAUGCUUCUUCGGACAACAAGGAAAAACAGCUGCUGUCAGUCAGCAGUGAUUUUAUUUCUUUAGAAGAAGAAGAGAAAGAAAAAAUAUCAAAUGGCGGGCAGACCCCCGAAAAAACGUAAAUAUUCAAGCAGGUUUAGUACAGAAUAUCAGCCCCCCAGGACUAACUAUUUAUAUUUAGCACUUUCAAAUAACACCAUUCAAGUAUCAGUACAUUCAGUUGGUUCUAUGAUUUAUGAAUGUGUUCAAUGUCAAGCACUUCAUUUUUUAGGUGAAAAAAUUAAAAAUCAUUUUAAAAAUUGUUGUCAUAAUGGGAAGGUAUACAUAGAUUUAUUAUUAGAUUUAUACAAAGGCGUACAGACGUAUUCUGAUGCUAAUCAUUUUAAGGCUAAUAUACGACUAUAUAAUUCAGCAUUUGCAAUGGCAUCCAUUAAUUCUAAACUUGAACACACUCCCUCCAGGAUUUUUCACUUAUAGGGUACAAGGGCAAAUUUAUAUAAAAACUGGAUCUUUGGUUAAACCACAAUACAACCAAUUGUAUAUAAUUGAAGAUGAAGCAGCCUUAAAUGAAAGAUUAUCCGAUUCUAGAAAUAACAUUAUGUAAAAGCAAUAUAAUGAGGUCCUUACAAACAAUGCUCAAUGAAUUCAAUCCUUUUGUCAAAGUAUACAAAAAGGUGGCAGCAAUUUUAGCAGAAGAGGAAUUAAAAGCAGCCUCAGAAAAUCGACCCAAAUAUUCGGUAUCAAAACAGUUUUAUAAACAUAAAUCUCUGGAUUUGCGUCGGUAUAACACACCAUCAAAUAAUGAGGUAGCGGCCAUCUUUGUAGGAGAAAACGGUGAACCUCCAUUAAAUAUAGACUUCUCUGUACAAGAAUAUUCUCAACAUUUAACUACACUCAAAUCAACCAGUUCCAAUAUUGACCCUUUAACCUUUCCUCUACUUUUUCCUAAUGGAGAACUCGGAUGGCAUGAAAAUCUUCAACACAAAAAAGAAAGUCGAACUGCUCGAAGCCGUCUUACAAUGUUACAAUUUUAUCAGUAUAGACUUGCUCUUCGUAAAAAUUUUAGUCCAUUAUUUUACGCUGAAAAACGUGAUUUUCAUAUAAAAAAUCACGCGCGCGGACGCGUUGUCAGUGUGAAGUGCCGCGCGUGUUUUCUAUACAAACUGAGGUACUUGCAUACAAUGAAAUCUGUCGCCCCGCGCUCCGCGGCGGAGCGCGGCGCAGUGUGAUAACCGCCUUAAUAAGAGUUAUAACCUAUAUUAAUGAUU